AUUGAACGCUGGCGGCAUGCUUUACACAUGCAAGUCGAACGGUAACAGGUCUUCGGAUGCUGACGAGUGGCGAACGGGUGAGUAAUGUAUCGGAACGUGCCCAGUAGUGGGGGAUAACUACUCGAAAGAGUGGCUAAUACCGCAUGAGAACUGAGGUUGAAAGCGGGGGACCUUCGGGCCUCGCGCUACUGGAGCGGCCGAUAUCAGAUUAGGUAGUUGGUGGGGUAAAGGCCUACCAAGCCGACGAUCUGUAGCUGGUCUGAGAGGACGACCAGCCACACUGGGACUGAGACACGGCCCAGACUCCUACGGGAGGCAGCAGUGGGGAAUUUUGGACAAUGGACGCAAGUCUGAUCCAGCAAUGCCGCGUGCAGGACGAAGGCC
rnacentral:rRNA from 1 species